AGGACAUUAUAAAUUUGAUAGAUACUCGCAUUCCGGGUUCUCUGUUGGCCAUACCACCACGGGCAGGCGAGACGCUGACAGCACCAAUGAUCCAGCUACUACCGGUGUCCAAGUCGAGCCACCUUCAUGGACCCGCUAGGCCUGGCCGUUCUUCCCAAACUUUGAACCAUCGUGCUGGCGCUCAAGGCUACUAUACUUCAUUGCCCUGAACUGUACUUUCACGGGUAUGACAUCUAUCCGCCUUAGGUAUAGGCCUAUUAUACUGUGUAGACAUGUAGCACUGCGUCGCCCUCGGGACCAGCGGUCAGUCAAGUUCCCCUCGUUGGAAAUGGACCACGCCUCGCAGCAGUCCUCGCCCGCCGGUCAACAGGGCCACUUAUGUGGUUUCCUAUGUUCACCGGGCAAUUUCUUUAUUACUUUGCUGCCGUGUGCAACGGAUUGGGCUUUUUCAGUUGAUCUUUCCACACGUAACAGGCUUCAGACAAGCUAACCAGGAUCACGCAGCGGGUGAACGGGACACAGGCACAUCGCGUGCGCACAUGCGCUUACGGUUCGUCUUAAUCCUCAGAAGCUCUUGGACAAGAAUUCGAAGUAAAUGCAAAUGAAUAAUCUAACAGUUAACAGCGAACCCCCAAGGGAACGCUCCAAAGUUGGGCAAAUAUGCAUCAUUAAUGUUUCGUGAUCGUGAAUAUGUGAUUACCCUCGCUACGCCACCUCCGCAGUACGGACCGCAACGUGCGUCCAGCCAGCUAGCCACGUUCACCUUGCUUAAACGCUAAACAUGGACGAACCUUGUCAUUUCCGCUAGUAGGCCCCCAAGACAUGAAGACCUCAGCAGCCAUUCACAAAAAUCUCUGCCCUUAUAUUCUUUAGCACAUUUAAGUCGCACUUGCCAGUAGUCACCUUGUGUGCACCUGCAAAAUUUCCAAAAGUUGUUCACUGAUAUACUGGUAUCCGUGCUUCUUGAAGCACGUUAGCUCUAGUUAUUGUUGCAACAAGUGGCAUUAGAUACGUUCCGUAUUUGUAACAAACUUCAGUAAGAAUAGCUCCCAAGCUUUGACUAAUGAUAGGAUCUGUCUCUAUGUCUUUAGCUGUGCUAUUGGCAUGUGGUCUGUUAACAGUUCGAUGUCCAGAGGUAUCGCUUAUCGGUUACCCAAAGCGUCUGCAGUCGUUUUGUAAGUUUGAUAUGCAUAUUUGCUUUAUUUUGCGAAUUAUUUGCAAAAGAUACCGGGAGUGUGUGUACAACUGCUUGAUUUUUUUGCGUAAAUCAAAGUGUCUUUCCACUACACGGGUUCUCUGCUCACGCAAAGAAGGCUCCAUAUAUCCGAUGUUUAAGAAUCUAAACUUUUUCCAGAUCUGACUAUCGAUGUGUCAUCAAUGAAAGCGUUAGAUGGGGAAGAAAGCAGAAGUUUGUGUUCAGCUGCUUGAUUUCUUUGAGUGUCUUUUUACUACACGGGUUCUCUGCUCAGGCAAAGAAAGCUCUAUAUAUCCGAUGUUUAAGAAUCUAAACUUUUUCCAGAUCUAUCGAUGUGUCGUCUCUAGUUUCGGAAAUAUCCGCAAAAGAAAGCAAGAGUUUUUGUAUAACUGCUGGAUUAUUUUGCGUAAAUCUGAGUCUCUUUCCACUACACGGGUUCUCUGCUCACGCAAAAAAGGCUCCCUAUACCCGAUGUUUAAGAAUCUAAACUUUUUCCAGAUCUGACUAUCGAUAUGUCAUCUUAAAGGGCAUAUUCUCAUGUAUCGAUUCAUGCAAGUUUGAUAUGCAUAUUUGUUUUUUUCCCUGAAUUAUUCGCAAAUGAAAGCGUUAGUUUGUGUAGAACUGCUUGGUUUUUUUGC